rnacentral:rRNA from 1 species
AUACGGAGGGGGCUAGCGUUGUUCGGAAUUACUGGGCGUAAAGCGCGCGUAGGCGGCUUAUCAAGUUAGGCGUGAAAGGCCUGGGCUCAACCCGGGAACUGCGCUUAAUACUGGUAGACUUGAGUCCGGGAGAGGGUGGCGGAAUUCCCAGUGUAGAGGUGAAAUUCGUAGAUAUUGGGAAGAACACCAGUGGCGAAGGCGGCCACCUGGCCCGGUACUGACGCUGAGGUGCGAAAGCGUGGGGAGCAAACAGGAUUAGAAACCCUAGUAGUCC